GUCGAGGAUCUUCCGCAAUGGACGAAAGUCUGACGGAGCGACGCCGCGUGCGGGAGGAAGGCCUUCGGGUUGUAAACCGCUGUCACCUGUUAUGAAUCGUGAGGGCGUGAAUAGCGCCAGCACGUGACAAAGGCAGGGGAGGAAGCCACGGCUAACUUCGUGCCAGCAGCCGCGGUAAUACGAAGGUGGCAAGCGUUGUUCGGAAUCACUGGGCAUAAAGCGCGUGUAGGCGGCCUUGCAAGUCGGGUGUGAAAUCCCUCAGCUCAACCGAGGAACUGCGCCCGAAACUGCUUGGCUUGAGGCCUGGAGGGGAGAGUGGAAUUCCCGGUGGAGCGGUGAAAUGCGUAGAUAUCGGGAGGAACGCCGGUGGCGAAAGCGACUCUCUGGACAGGUUCUGACGCUGAGACGCGAAAGCUAGGGGAGCAAACGGGAUUAGAAACCCGUGUAGUCC
rnacentral:rRNA from 1 species